AUGGAGCGGUGCCAUCCCUCCGAGGUGUACGAGCUCUUCGUCCGGCACAUGAACACCCCGAGGGUGGUGGUGGACAACGGGGUGUGCGACACGGCGACGCUGGUGCAGGUGCACAGCGCGCGGAAGCACGGCGUGCUGCUGGAGGCCGUGGCCGCGCUGUCGGACCACGGCGUCUGCGUCCGGAAGGGGUACAUCUCCUCCGACGACGGCCGGUGGUUCAUGGACGUCUUCCACGUCACCGACGCCGCGGGCUGCAAGGUCGCCGACGCCGACAAGCUGCUCGUCCGGCUCGAGUCCUCGCUCGCCGCCGCAGCGGCCGCGGCCGACGCAUUGCCGCGCCCGGCGGGGUGCGACUCGCCCGCCAAGGAGGCGCUCUGCCUGCUCGAGCUCAUCGGCGUCGACCGCCCGGGUCUCCUCUCGGAGGUGUUCGCCGUGCUGCACGACCUGCGCUGCAGCACCGUGGACGCCAAGGCGUGGACGCACGGCGGCCGCGUCGCCGCCCUGGUGUUCGUCCGCGACGAGGACACCGGCGCGCCCAUCCACGACGCGGCCCGGAUCAGGCGCAUCGAAUCCCGGCUCAGGCACGUCCUCCGCGGCGGCGCGCGCGGCGCGAGGACGGUCCUGCUCGACGCGGCGGCGGUGGGCAACCUGGACCGGAGGCUCCACCAGCUGCUGAGCGAGGACAGGGAGGCCGACCGCCGCGCCCCCGCGGAGGGGCCGACGGCGACGGCGGUGGCGGUGCAGGAGUGGGGGGAAAGGGGGUACUCGGUGGUGACCGUGAGCUGCCGCGACCGGCCGAAGCUGCUGUUCGACGUCGUCUGCACCUUGACGGACCUGGACUACGUGGUGUACCACGGCACCUUCGACACCGACGGCGAUCACGCGCAGCAGGAGUUCUACAUCCGGCGGCUGGACGGGCGGGCGAUCAGCUCGGAGGGCGAGAGGCAGCGGGUGAUCCAACGCCUGCAAGCGGCGAUCGAGAGGCGCGCGUCCGAGGGCGUGAGGCUGGAGCUGCGCAUCUCCGACCGGCGCGGGCUGCUGGCCUACGUGACGCGCGUGUUCCGGGAGAACAGCCUCUCGGUCACGCACGCCGAGAUCACCACCCGGGGCGACAUGGCGGUGAACGUCUUCCACGUCACCGACGUGGCCGGCCGCCCCGCCGACCCCAAGACCAUCGACGAGGUCAUCCACGGGGUCGGCACCGAGAGCCUCCGGGUGGACGAGGAGCGGUGGCCCCGCCUGUGCUCGACGGAGGGGGACGCCGGCGGCGGCGGCGGCGCAGGCGCCGGCCUGUUCUCGCUCGGCAGCCUGGUGAAGAAGAAUCUCUACAACCUUGGGCUGAUCAGAUCCUGCUCCUGCUCCUGA
rnacentral:rRNA from 1 species